rnacentral:lncRNA from 1 species
CAUCAACUCCCCACCAGCCCACCACAGUGCCUCUGCUGUUAUCCACUGAUCAGGCCAGGGUGACGCCAGCUCAGAGGUCAUCUGCUCCCAGAUCCAGCACCUGGACCUUCUCUGUUUGGGGGACAACACGCCACCCCACCUGCCAAAUAAAUCAAAGCCUAGUUCAACAAAGCUUUUGAUUUAGGGGAGAGUGAGGUAAUUUGAACCAAAGGGGUAAGUUGAGCUAACCUUGUUUCUGGGAAACCAUAAACAACAUUAAUCAUUUUACCAAAUAUUUAGGAAGAGGUCAUUAUUUCAUAGAAUCUGUGAAGGAAGAAACAACAUGGAAAAAGUGAUAAUCAGUUUGAAGCACCAUCACUUCUUGUGGGUUGCAGAGCUGAUCCAAAUGAUUGCUGCCAGUAUAACAGUGUCCUUUCUGGUGAUGGGACCUGCUAUGAAGCACACAAGUACAUUGAUAGCCUUGUGAACUCACACUGGAACACCAAGUUGGAAUGGAUGUCUAAGGUCUGGGAGAGGACAUUGCCACAGAGCUUCCACAGACGCAAUUCAAGAAGGCUAUAAAGGCCUUCUUCUCCAUCUGGUUUUGAAUUUCUCCCAUCACAAGAUGAUUUCACAGGCCAUUUGCUUUCUCACUCUCUGACCAUUACCACAACCAUAAAAAUGGAAUAUUUCUCUGCCCCGUAAUAGAAAAUGUUCUGAUGCAUUCAGGAUGCUUACUUUGACUAAUUAAGUUGAUUUCAUGGUAUUAACCAAACAAUCCAUUUUGUCUUUCCUCUUUGACAGCUUUGCCAAUGGGCU